rnacentral:sRNA from 1 species
UACAAAUAGUGGUAAAAUAGUCAUUAAAAAUUUAAAAAGGGUAUAAAUAAAAAUGGCAAAUAGAAAAUGGUAGAAUUGAAAAGGGGUAGUGUGGAAAGAGCAUUUUCAGCAAUUAUUCUAUUAAAACGGUAUAUAAAUAUUAUUUAAUUAUUGAUUCAAACCCGUUUGCCACAUAAUCUUGAUCCAAAAUAUAACAUAUCCCGUAAUUGCUUAACCCAUCACAUGAUUUAUUUUUUAAAA